rnacentral:misc_RNA from 1 species
UUUUUCGCUGGCUGCUUGGCGACUUCUACAAAGCUCACUAACGCUUCAUUUCUCGUUCUAUCCGCCUCUUGCUCUCUAAAAGCAAAGCUCCACCCUUUUAUCUAUACUUCGCAUUUCAACUCCCCAAACUCUGUCUUCCUUGUUCUUUCUCAGCGACGUGGUCACCGUUCCUUGCAUUUCCCGGUAACCAUGUCACAGUCUCUCCAUUUCUUCACUCCAACAACUCGCUCCCCAAACCUCACUUUCCCUAAGCAGCCUCUCACUAAACCACCUCUCCCUGCCUCCAAUUUUCGGUUGCCGGUGAAUUUUGCUCCCAAAUCUAUCUCCGUCAGGGCCUCCGCUUCAUCAGAUCCCAACUCUGCGCCGUCAUCUCAAGUAUUGGUUUCUAGUAAUGGUACAGGAGGCGGCGUCUUGGCGCCGGAGUAUACUUCCUUGGCAGUGGCCGAUGUGAGUUCGAUCGAGGUGGAUGCGGUGACGGAGGCUGAAUUGAAGGAGAAUGGGUUUAGGAGCACCAGGAGGACGAAGCUUGUUUGCACGAUCGGUCCGGCCACAUGUAGCUUCGAGCAGCUGCAGGCACUGGCAGUUGGGGGCAUGAACAUGGCGAGGAUUAAUAUGUGUCACGGAACCCGCGAGUGGCACAAGAGCGUCAUUGAGCGAGUUAGGAGACUUAAUGAGGAGAAGGGAUUUGCUGUGGCUAUUAUGAUGGAUACUGAAGGAAGUGAGAUUCACAUGGGCGAUCUCGGUGGAGCUUCCUCUGCCAAAGCUGAGGAUGGUGAAAUUUGGACUUUUAGUGUCAGAGCCUUUGACUCACCUCGUCCAGAGCGCACUAUCAACGUGAACUAUGAUGGUUUUGCUGAGGAUGUACAAGUUGGGGAUGAACUCCUUGUGGAUGGUGGGAUGGUACGGUUUGAGGUGAUUGAGAAAAUUGGUCCAGAUGUAAAGUGUCGAUGUACUGAUCCUGGACUGUUACUACCACGGGCUAAUUUGACUUUCUGGAGGGAUGGGAGUCUAGUGCGAGAACGUAAUGCUAUGCUUCCCACAAUAUCCUCUAAGGAUUGGAUAGACAUCGAUUUUGGUAUCUCAGAGGGUGUUGAUUUUAUUGCAAUAUCAUUUGUCAAGUCUGCUGAAGUGAUUAAUCAUCUCAAAAGCUACAUUGCUGCACGGUCUCGUGACACUGACAUAGCUCUCAUUGCAAAGAUAGAGAGUGUUGACUCGUUGAAAAACUUAGAGGAGAUCAUUCAAGCAUCAGAUGGAGCUAUGGUAGCAAGAGGAGAUCUGGGUGCACAGAUACCGUUGGAACAGGUCCCAUCGGCCCAGCAAAAAAUCGUGCAGCUCUGCAGGCAGCUAAAUAAGCCAGUCAUUGUUGCCUCUCAAUUACUUGAAUCUAUGAUUGAAUACCCUACACCCACCAGAGCUGAAGUAGCUGAUGUUUCUGAAGCAGUUAGGCAGCGGGCUGAUGCUUUGAUGCUCUCUGGUGAGUCAGCCAUGGGCCAGUACCCAGAGAAGGCAUUGGCUGUUCUCAGAAGUGUCAGUGUAAGAAUUGAGAAGUGGUGGAGAGAAGAGAAACGCCAUCAAGCUAUGGAACUACCGGCUGUAGGAUCUGCAUUUUCCGACUGUAUUUCUGAAGAGAUUUGCAACUCUGCUGCCAAGAUGGGUAAGCGUUCUUUGGUUUCAAUUCUAGAUAUCAAUUGAUGGAUCUAGUGAAUUCUUUUUAUGAUUAAAUGAUUUAUUUCCAGCGUAGAAGUUAGAGGUAUGCAAUGUUUGGUUUGGUCUAGUUUGGAGAGAAUUUUUUGAACUGAAUCAGACUGUUUGACUUGGUGUAUAUUCCUUUAAAAACCUGGGACACUUUCUACAUGAGUCACUGAGAAGAAAUUUCUGUAUCCUGCUAUUCGGAUUUCAAGCUGUGAUUUCUUUGUACAAGCACCUUCAGUUCUGCAUUUAUAAAUUGCCAAAAGCUCUAAUUAUAAUGUUUUCGUGGCCAAAAGGCCGAGUAAUAUAAAUUGGAUCUACCAUUGCAUUUAUUUAUUGGCUAGUGCAAUGAUUGUAGGAGUACUCCGAAACCUAAAAAUUAAAGGCACUGUUUGUAUGUGCAUAUGUUCCUAAAAUGAUGGUCAUGAUGCAGUACGUUUUGUGAUUUUGCAGCUAACAAUUUGGCGGUGGAUGCUCUUUUUGUCUAUACAAAGAAUGGUCACAUGGCAUCUCUCUUGUCUCGUUGCCGACCUGACUGUCCAAUCUUUGCUUUCACAACCUCAGCAUCUGUAAGGAGACGCCUGAACCUACAGUGGGGCCUGAUACCUUUCCGCCUGAGCUUUUCAGAUGAUAUGGAAAGCAACCUUAAUAAAACCUUCUCCUUGCUCAAGGCUAGAGGAAUGAUCAAAUCAGGUGACCUUGUUAUAGCUGUUUCAGACAUGCUACAGUCCAUCCAAGUCAUGAAUGUUCCUUAGAUUUCAUUUUAAAUUGUUGUUGCCUGUUAGACUGUUUUAUCUAUUAUUUGAUAUGUGGACUGGUUCUACAAUUUGGUUACUGCUGGAAUACUCUUAUUGCCGUACUGCAGCAAAACUUGGAUUAGAUUCCACUUGAGCAACUGAGACUUUUUGGCUGGUGAACGGCGACUUUAUUUUGUUUGGAGUGAGAGUGAUAUAUUGCAAAAUGUACCAAUGGAGAUAGAGCUGUAAUUACGAACAAUGUACCCUUGUAGUAUUUUGUUGUUUAGCAACUCGACUUUUCCACAAAUGCUUAGACCAAGAAUAAUCUACAAACACUGUUGGCAGAUUAUUUAAGCUAUAUUGUUGUUCCAUGGCACUUACUCAUCUUUUCAUCCUUUCAAUUGCUAAACUCUGAUUACCAAGGAAUUAAUUACUC